CCUGGGAGGACGAGCCUAGGCUACACCUGUUCCCAUUCCGAACACAGAAGUUAAGCUUCAUAGCGCCGAGAGUAGUUGGAGGAACGCCUCCUGUGAGGGUAGGACGUUGCCGUGC
rnacentral:rRNA from 1 species